UACGUAGGGUGCAAGCGUUAAUCGGAAUUACUGGGCGUAAAGCGUGCGCAGGCGGUUAUAUAAGACAGUUGUGAAAUCCCCGGGCUCAACCUGGGAACUGCAUCUGUGACUGUACAGCUAGAGUACGGUAGAGGGGGAUGGAAUUCCGCGUGUAGCAGUGAAAUGCGUAGAUAUGCGGAGGAACACCGAUGGCGAAGGCAGUGUUCUGGGCCAGUACUGACGCUGAGGAGCGAAAAGCGUGGGGAGCGAACAGG
rnacentral:rRNA from 1 species